rnacentral:lncRNA from 1 species
UCAAACAACCUGGGUCGUGGGAUUUUCCCAUGAGAGUCCUCCAAACCAUAUCUCACUAUGUCGAUGGCUCGAUCGAGCCUUCAUCGUUGGCCUGUUAACGACUCACCAUUAUUUCUUCUCUUAAAGAUACUUCAUUAAUUUCAUUCAAUAAACGUCUUUUCAUUCACAUUCUUCGUUAACUUUCUAGUCACCGAAAAUCCAAGUGUAACAAUCUGUUACUUGAAAAGGAAUAAGGGAUACCACCACAGUCACUUACCACAAUCGUGGUGAUAUAUAAUUUACUUAAUGACAAUUUAUAAAGAAACACUAGUUUUUAACCUUUUAAACAUGUUAAAAAAAUGAAAAAUCUAUCAAAACGGUUGAUUUAAACAACAUUUAUGAUAUCACAUUUAUUUUUUAUUUAAAAAUAAAUAAAAAGAAAGGCGCGACUAAAAUGUUAAAGAAAUAAAUUAUUUGCUAGCGCUGAGAUUCGAACUUAUGAAAGAUUUAUUAUAUCACCACGGUUGGUCUCACUAACCGUGGUAAUAUUUUAAUAAUUUUAAAUUAAAAAUAAAAUAAAAUAUUGGCGUCUGAGUUUAGAAAUGUCACCACGGUUCUUCAAAGGACCGUCGUAAGACGGACGCUGUUGUAUAUAAUUUUUGUAGUAGUGAGAAGAGUACCAUAAGUGCUCCUUCUUUGGACCUCACUUGGUUUUUGUUGUGUAUGAAUAACUAAUGAAUGGUGCUCAACUGUUGAUUUCCCAACCAGCUUGAUGUCAAGACACUCUCUAGGUAUAUCUAGUAUUGAAUGUGAGUGCGUAAAGAUCUUCAAAGUCUUGUUCAUGUCAUAAAUAUCCAAUAAUUGUUGUGAACAAGUAACCAAUUACUAUAUCUUCCUUGUCUGCACUAGAAACCCUUUCAAAUGCUUGGCCAAAACACUCCAAAAUUUACCUAUCCAAAGUUAACCUUAACAUAUAUAUGGAUAGAUCCACCAAUCACUUUAUGAACCAUCUUCUUUGAUAGACCAUAUAAUGUUAGUUGAGACAUACACUAGACCCCCACAAUUCAAUUUCAAUAACAACAAUAAUCAAGCGGACUAUAAAACCUUAAUUCCAAACGUAUAAUUAGCUUAUGAAACGAGGGUUUCACACCCUCUAUGUCAACACUAACUUUCCAUUAGUCAUAGAUUAGGUCAAAGGAAAAUAUCAAGCAAAAAGUAAACCUUAACUACUUAUUUAAACAAAGUUAAACCACUUACAAGAGGUAACAAAAUAAGUAUCACCACUACAAAAAAAAAAUCGGUUAAAGAGGUGAGGUAACGAAGCACGUCAUGAAAAGCUUCCACUUUACCGCUCGGUUUAAGAAUAACAGAGAGGUUAGUUGGAAUGCUCAUGAGUUCGAGCCCCAACAACAAUUUUUUUAUAUUUUUCAAACUAACAAUAUACACCUCUCGGUUUAAUAACAAAACCGAGGGAAUAUAUAUAUAUAUAAUACUCAUUACAUUGUUUACACAUAAUAUUAAAGUAAACAUGUUAUAUCCGAUUCAUCUAGGGGUGGCAAACGGGCAUGCUCGCCCCAUAAAAGCCCCAAAAAUACGGGGUGAGACGGGGCAAACAUAGUUGAGGAUGCAAAUCUGAAACCUAGGUCCACCCCACAAAAAAAGUGAGGGCGGAGCAGGGAAAUCCCGCAGACACUGCACCUUUUAAGCCUAAAAUACAAAACAUUACAUAAAUGUUUGUGCUCGUAAAAGUCUGCGAAAAAAAGACGGUGGGGCAUACACAUUAGAGGGCGAGGGUCUAAACCCCUGGCCUGCCCGUACUAAAGUGCAGGCAAAAUGGACAUGCACAGCGGGCUGAACCCGUUUUGUCACCCCUAGAUUCAUCGUUAUCACUAUCAGUAAAGAACAAAUAUUGAAUAUCUUGGAGAAGAGCAAAUAUUAGGGAUCCACGUUUCAUUGAUCUUGAUAUAAAAUAAAAAAAGUUAGAUAAAUAAGUUAAAUACUCAGUUAUAUGAUUAUUUAAGAACACAAACCUUGAACCAAAAUAAUUUUUUACUCUUAUAAUUCAUCUUUGAGAACUUUUCCCAACAAAAUAAUGAGAACCCAUCCCCGCCUUUUUAAGUUUCAAAGUUUUCAUGUCAAAUAUUUCAUUAUUAAUUUUUAAUAUUCAAAAUGUUUUUAUAAUGAAAGUUUUAGGUUUCACGAGGAUCACUAAUGAUAAUGUCUUGAGCGUGAUACUCAUUAAAUGAACGACAAAUAUUUGUUUAAGAACGGUGAAGAAACUGAAUAAACACACUUAUAUUUCACCUCGAUUAUUUCUCAAAACCGAGACACAAUAUGUUUCUUUUUAAAUAAAAAAUAAUAAAAUAUAUUUCAAUCCAAACGCCACAUACAUCUCGAUUUCUGUUAAAAACUGAGGGAAAAAGUUAUUGUUUUUUAUAUUUACAAUAUUUGCACAGAAUAUUAAAAUAAAUUGUUUAAACAAAUCAUGAGUUUGAUAAUGAAUUCUUAGAGAACAACCUAUCUUUUCAAAUUGCUGAUAAGUUAUCUGAUUCAACUAUGAGAAUUUUUUUCUGUACUUGCAAUUCAUUCCAGAGAGAUUUCAUUAUCUUGAACAAAUAUUUUAAUGACAAAUGCUUUCACAUGAAAGAGAACAUGAAAGAGAAAUGAAUGUUUGUGUUUAUGAAUAAAUUUUUCAAUAUUGUCAACCGAGGAAAUCAAUAAAUUUCUCAAUGUUUUCUUUGAUUGACAACAUAUGAAGGUUAUUGCAAAAAUACAACAACAACAUUAACAUCAUUAUGUGAGAUAGAUUGUAAGGGCAGAAUAAAUAUUAUACUGAAGGACAUUAAAGAUUUUUACUAUCUUGCAAUCUAUCCCAAAGAAUGAUGCGUAAGACUUUGAAACGACUACACAUAAGUUAAGUUAAGUUUAAGUUAAAAUUUGAUUAACGAGUGUUAUUAUAGUAAAAUAUGGUAAUCUAAUAUCUCAGUUAUUAAAUAUAACUGAAAAAAUAAAUUAUUUUUAUGGAAAUAUAACCAAUGUGAGAUUUGAUAUUUUUCCAAUGCAACCCCUCACGCCAACACUCUUUUAGACUUGAUGCGUAAAUUUAAAUGGUAGACGACCCAUAAUUCGAUCGAUAGAUUCUAUUAUCAUAUUAGAAUUAUUCAUAACUCAUUUUUACAAAAUCGAUUUAUAAGAUGAUGAAUAGUCACCUAUAUAAAUCCUUUGAAGAUUCUAUCCCCAACUUAAAAUUUAGAAGUUUCAUAGUAUAAACAAACAAAAACACCCGCCCAUGAUUUUUGUGGGCAAACCAAACAAUUUUUAGUUUUAUUUUAAAAACGGUUCACGUUAAUAUUCUUACCUUUCGUAUAAAAGUCUUUGCUAAUAUUUAGCAAUGCUUAAAAUCAAAAUAUUAUAGUAUUAUUCAAUAGUAAACUUCUUAUUAAAUCAUGUUAGAAACGUUGAACUAACCUACCCAAAAAGGAACCCGCACAUUACCGUAUACUGUAGUUUUAAAUAAUUUACAAAGUGAAAGCAUCACAGGAAGGUACUGAUCCGCACUUGUGAUAUGAUACACAAUCUUACCGUCAAAAUAUUUCUAUCAACGGUCACGCGUGUUUUCGUAGCUACGCACGGAUCAGGUUUCUAAGCCGUCGAUUAGUUUAAAUCCGACGAUUCAGAACAAAUUUCAAAACUCAGUUGCCAUCUCCAUUUCCCGCUCUGAAUCUCUAAUAUAUAAAUAUCCCAAUCUCUUCCAUUUCUCUUCACACUCAAAAUUUGAAUUUCAAUUCGUGUAUUCUAGAUUUUCGAAUUUUCUCGCGAAAAUGUCAGGCCGUGGAAAGGGUGGUAAGGGACUCGGAAAGGGAGGUGCAAAGAGGCACAGGAAGGUUCUCCGUGAUAACAUCCAAGGCAUCACAAAGCCAGCUAUUCGUAGAUUGGCGAGAAGAGGAGGUGUGAAGAGAAUCAGUGGUUUGAUCUAUGAGGAAACCAGAGGAGUUCUCAAGAUCUUUUUGGAAAACGUGAUCCGUGAUGCUGUUACAUACACCGAGCAUGCCAGGAGGAAGACUGUUACAGCCAUGGAUGUUGUUUAUGCUCUCAAGAGACAAGGAAGAACCCUCUACGGAUUCGGAGGUUGAAGACUCAUUCUUUGGAUGUUGUUCUGAUUUCACUGUAUAAUUGGAACAUGUGAUAGAUCUUUAUAAUGCUUAGUAGGGUUGUUUGAUAGUUCUGUUACUUUGUAAGAUUAACAAGGUUGAAAUCUAAUGAAAAUAUUUUCUGGUGAAUUAUGAGUCUUGUUUUCUUUUUUGUUUGGAUAAGUUCUUUUGCAGUUUGUAGAACUAGGAAAAGGUUUGUGCCUUGUCUGAGAAUGCUAAUUGCAUUUGGUAGCUAAAUUCUACCGCCUACCCAGGCCAUCCAAAUUCUGUUUUCUAAACAAAACUGGAAAAUUUCAUUUCUUGUCAAAGAAUUGAUUGAGUCUGCCUUUAGAAAAAAUGCAUAUUAAAACAAAACACAACUAUUCAGCAAGACAUUAGUCCACAUGGACAUGUGAGAUACUGGAUAUCUGACAUCUUUGAAUUUGUAACCGGUAAUGAAUUUAUUCAAAUAAGUAGUUGGG